UACGUAGGGUGCGAGCGUUGUCCGGAAUUAUUGGGCGUAAAGAGCGUGUAGGCGGCUUUGCAAGUCCGUUGUGAAAACUCGAGGCUCAACCUCGAGACGCCGGUGGAAACUGCAAAGCUAGAGUCCGGAAGAGGAGAGUGGAAUUCCUGGUGUAGCGGUGAAAUGCGCAGAUAUCAGGAAGAACACCCGUGGCGAAGGCGGCUCUCUGGGACGGUACUGACGCUGAGACGCGAAAGCGUGGGGAGCGAACAGG
rnacentral:rRNA from 1 species